UGGAUCCAGACUUUGAUUCUGGCUCAGGAUGAACGCUAGCUACAGGCUUAACACAUGCAAGUCGAGGGGCAGCAUGGGAUUAGCUUGCUAAUCCUGAUGGCGACCGGCGCACGGGUGCGUAACGCGUAUCCAACCUGCCCUCUACUCCGGAACAGCCCGUCGAAAGGCGGAUUAAUGCCGGAUGGUGUCACAUGCCCGCAUGAGUGUGUGACUAAAGGCAACGGUAGAGGAUGGGGAUGCGACUGAUUAGCUAGUUGGCGGGGUAACGGCCCACCAAGGCUACGAUCAGUAGGGGUUCUGAGAGGAAGGUCCCCCACAUUGGAACUGAGACACGGUCCAAACUCCUACGGGAGGCAGCAGUGAGGAAUAUUGGUCAAUGGGCGAGAGCCUGAACCAGCCAAGUAGCGUGCGGGAUGACGGCCCUAUGGGUUGUAAACCGCUUUUGAUUGGGAACAAAGAGCGCUACGUGUGGUGCGUUGCGUGUACCUUUCGAAUAAGCAUCGGCUAAUUCCGUGCCAGCAGCCGCGGUAAUACGGAAGAUGCGAGCGUUAUCCGGAUUUAUUGGGUUUAAAGGGAGCGUAGGCGGGCUGUUAAGUCAGCGGUCAAAUGUCAGGGCCCAACCUUGGCAUGCCGUUGAUACUGGCGGCCUUGAGUUCACACAAGGAAGGUGGAAUUCGUCGUGUAGCGGUGAAAUGCUUAGAUAUGACGAAGAACUCCGAUUGCGAAGGCAGCCUUCUGGGGUGUUACUGACGCUGAGGCUCGAAAGUGCGGGAAUCAAACAGGAUUAGAUACCCUGGUAGUCCGCACCGUAAACGAUGAGCGCCCGUCAUUGGCGACACACAGUCAGUGACCAAGGGAAACCGUUAAGCGCUCCACCUGGGGAGUACGCCGGCAACGGUGCAACUCAAAUGAAUUGACGGA
rnacentral:rRNA from 1 species